UUACACAUGCAAGUCGAGCGCACGUAGCAAUACGUGAGCGGCAGACGGGAGAGUAACACGUGGGAACGUACCCUUCGGUUCGGAAUAACUCAGGGAAACUUGAGCUAAUACCGGAUACGUCCGAAAGGAGAAAGAUUCAUCGCCGAGGGAUCGGCCCGCGCCCGAUUAGCUUGUUGGUGGGGUGAUGGCCCACCAAGGCGACGAUCGGUAGCUGGUCUGAGAGGAUGAUCAGCCUCACUGGGACUGAGACACGGCCCAGACUCCUACGGGAGGCAGCAGUGGGGAAUAUUGGACAAUGGGCGCAAGCCUGAUCCAGCCAUGCCGCGUGGGUGAUGAAGGCCUUAGGGUUGUAAAGCCCUUUCGGCGGGGAAGAUAAUGACGGUACCCGCAGAAGAAGCCCCGGCUAACUUCGUGCCAGCAGCCGCGGUAAUACGAAGGGGGCUAGCGUUGCUCGGAAUCACUGGGCGUAAAGCGCACGUAGGCGGAUCUUUAAGUCAGGGGUGAAAUCCUGGAGCUCAACUCCAGAACUGCCUUUGAUACUGGAGAUCUCGAGUUCGGGAGAGGUGAGUGGAACUGC
rnacentral:rRNA from 1 species